AGAAUUUUUAUUUAUUCACUCUUCCAUUGAUUCUUGUCAGUGACACCAACUAUGUGCCAAGUACUAUUUCGAACUUGGAAAUACACUAAGGAACAGAGGAGACAAAAUUUCCAUCUUUGUAGAACAUUCCACUGCAAUUGUAAAAAUAAACAAAAAUAUACAUAUGGAACUCCAUGCCACUUUAUGUAUAAAGUUUUAAUGCAUUUGAAGAGCAUUAAGAAGAUAAAACUAUGAACUAAACAACAUAUGUCAGUAGACCAACUCCUGGAUUCAACAUUCAGAAAUCAAACAAGCCA
rnacentral:lncRNA from 1 species